AUGGAAUCUCUGCUGUUUUUCCUUUGCCUGCUCGCUGCCCCCAGCUGUGUUUGCUCUCAGGUGCAGCUGAUCCCAUCCGGGCCCGGCGCAGUGAAACCCGGAGAGACCCUGACCUUGAGCUGCGCCAUCAGUGGUGACUCUGUCACCAGUAAUUGGUGGGACUGGAUCCGACAGGCUCCAGGGAAAGGGCUGGAGUGGGUAGGAGAGAUCGACUGGAGUGACUCUAAGUGGCGCAUAAACUAUGGCCCGGCUUUCCAGAGCCGCGCAACGCUUAGUGCUGAUUCGUCCAAGAACCAGUUCUCGCUGCAGCUCCGCUCGCUGACAGCUGCAGACACCGCCACCUAUUACUGCGCCCGGAACACAGUGACACAGCGCAACGCGGGGCCCGGCAAAAAAGGAGCAGCGGAUUCUAAGCAGCGAGAUCCCAUUCGGCCGUGCGCACUGUACAAAUCAAUGUGA